rnacentral:lncRNA from 1 species
GGAGGAGGCAGCAGCAGUGAGGCAGGCAUGGUGGGCUGGCCCAUAGUGCAGGUCAAGGGGGCGAGGCAGCGAAGCACAGUAGAGGCCAGCGGCACAGGGCUGCAGGAGAGCGGAAGGCCACUGAGAGUACCAGAUUGCCUACUUCCUGGCCAGCAGCCUCCCAACAUUUUCAUCAGGAUGGAGAUGGGCACCACGGUGAGGCAGUAAUUGGCCUCUGAGCUGGCCCCGGAGUUGACAUGCACCUUCAGGCUAUUGGCUAAGAGGAGACAGGGCUGCGGUGCAGCCACUGAAGACCACUGUUAUCACCAGUGAGAAGAGAGGUAAGACCCGAGGCCUAAGCCCACUAUCGUGGUGCUACAGGGAUGAGAGCUGGGCCCACAUGGGAGCUGUGAACUUGCUGGAUCCACAGCUUGCCGGGUUCAGGCCAUCCACCCUAUUGUGUCUACAGAGCCCGACAUUUACC